ensembl:misc_RNA Metazoa_SRP Metazoan signal recognition particle RNA
GCUGGGCUUGGUCGUGCACGCCUGUAAUCCCAGCUACUCGGGAGGCUGAGGCAGGAGAAUCGCUUGAGCCCAGGAAGCGGAGGUUGCGGUGAGCUGAGAUCUCACCACUGCACUCCAGCCUGGGCAACAGAGUGAUAUUCUGUCUCAA